GGAAGAGCCAUAGCUCAGUGGUAGAGCAUCUGCUUUGCAUGCAGAAGAUCCCAGGUUCAAUCCCCAGCAAUUCCA
rnacentral:tRNA from 1 species